rnacentral:rRNA from 1 species
CGUUUGGAAACGAACGCUAAUACCGCAUAACAUUAUGAUAUCGCAUGGUAUUGUAAUCAAAGGAGCAAUCCGCUGAUGGAUGGAUUCGCGUCCGAUUAGCUAGUUGGUGAGAUAACAGCUCACCAAGGCGACGAUCGGUAGCCGGACUGAGAGGUUGAGCGGCCACAUUGGGACUGAGACACGGCCCAGACUCCUACGGGAGGCAGCAGUGGGGGAUAUUGCACAAUGGGGGAAACCCUGAUGCAGCAACGCCGCGUGAGGGAAGAAGGUUUUCGGAUUGUAAACCUCUGUCCUAGGUGAAGAUAAUGACGGUAGCCUAGGAGGAAGCUCCGGCUAACUACGUGCCAGCAGCCGCGGUAAUACGUAGGGAGCGAGCGUUGUCCGGAAUUACUGGGUGUAAAGGGUGCGUAGGCGGCAAGAAAAGUCAGAUGUGAAAUACCGGGGCUUAACCCCGGAGCUGCAUUUGAAACUUUUUUGCUUGAGUGAAGUAGAGGCAAGCGGAAUUCCCUGUGUAGCGGUGAAAUGCGUAGAGAUAGGGAGGAACACCAGUGGGCGAAGGCGGCUUGCUGGGCUUCAACUGACGCUGAGGCACGAAAGCGUGGGUAGCAAACAGGAUUAGAUACCCUGGUAGUCCACGCUGUAAACGAUGGUUACUAGGUGUGGGCGCAAAAGCGUCCGUGCCGGAGUAACACAAUAAGUAAUCCACCUGGGGAGUACGACCGCAAGUUGAACUCAAAGGAAUUGACGGGGGCCCGCACAAGCAGUGGAAGUAUGUGGUUUAAUUCGAAGCAACGCGAAGAACCUUACCAGGUCUUGACAUCCAACUAACGAGGUAGAGAUACGUUAGGUGCCCUU